CGUCCUUGUAGCUUACAAAAAGCAUGACACUG
rnacentral:tRNA from 1 species